rnacentral:rRNA from 1 species
GACGUAGGGUGCGAGCGUUGUCCGGAUUCAUUGGGCGUAAAGAGCUCGUAGGCGGCUCAGUAAGUCGGGUGUGAAACCCUCAGGCUCAACCUGGGGACGCCACUCGAUACUGCUGUGGCUAGAGUCCAGUAGAGGAGUGUGGAAUUCCCGGUGUAGCGGUGAAAUGCGCAGAUAUCGGGAGGAACACCAACGGCGAAGGCAGCACUCUGGGCUGGAACUGACGCUGAGGAGCGAAAGCGUGGGUAGCAAACAGG